UAUGCUUCCUAUCCUGAGGGUCGCUUAAACAGAACAGUACCCACAGAAAAGCUCUCAUCACUUGUGCCUUCAAAUCAACCAAAUAUAAAGGCACUACCCUUUCUACUUUCCCUCCUGGCUAUAUGCUUCCUAUCCUGAGGGUCGCUUAAACAGAACAGUACCCACAGAAAAGCUCUCAUCACUUGUGCCUUCAAAUCAACCAAAUAUAAAGGCACUACCCUUUCUACUUUCCCUCCUGGCUAUAUGCUACCUAUCCUGAGGGUCGCUUAAACUGAACAGUACCCACAGAAAAGCUCUCAUCACUUGUGCCUUCAAAUCAACCAAAUAUAAAGGUUAAUCACUUUAUCUACAGUCUAUUUUAACUAAAAUAUAUCCUGUUAUAUAAGUAUAACCGCUGGUGCACUGGGUUCUAAGAAACAGCAGUUAAGUCCACAUAAAUUAAAGUUAAUGCUAUAUCCCCCAAAGCUUCUGGUAACAAACAGAGCUCCUAAAAAUAAAGUAUAUAAUCUAUUGGGUUACUUCCUGCAUUAACAUUCUACUUGCCUGUUUUCCACUUGCCCAUAGUCAAUUUGGAACUGGAAAAAGAAAAA